rnacentral:rRNA from 1 species
GUCCACGCCGUAAACGAUGGACACUAGGCGUCGGGGGGAGCGACCCCUCCGGUGCCGUCGCUAACGCAGUAAGUGUCCCGCCUGGGGAGUACGGCCGCAAGGCUGAAACUCAAAGGAAUUGACGGGGGCCCGCACAAGCGGUGGAGCAUGUGGUUUAAUUCGAAGCAACGCGAAGAACCUUACCUGGGCUUGACAUGCUGGUGUAAGCCGGUGGAAACAUCGGCCCCUCUUCGGAGCGCCAGCACAGGUGCUGCAUGGCUGUCGU